rnacentral:rRNA from 1 species
AGGACACUCUAUACGGAGUUACAAAGGACGACAUUAGACGAAUCAUCUGGAAAGAUGAAUCAAAGAAGGUAAUAAUCCUGUAGUCGAAAAUGUUGUCUCUCUUGAGUGGAUCCUGAGUACGACGGAGCACGUGAAAUUCCGUCGGAAUCUGGGAGGACCAUCUCCUAAGGCUAAAUACUCUCUAGUGACCGAUAGUGAACCAGUACCGUGAGGGAAAGGUGAAAAGCACCCCGGAAGGGGAGUGAAAUAGAACCUGAAACCGUGUGCUUACAAGUAGUCAGAGCCCGUUAAUGGGUGAUGGCGUGCCUUUUGUAGAAUGAACCGGCGAGUUACGAUUUGAUGCAAGGUUAAGCAGUAAAUGUGGAGCCGUAGCGAAAGCGAGUCUGAAUAGGGCGUUUAGUAUUUGGUCGUAGACCCGAAACCAGGUGAUCUACCCUUGGUCAGGUUGAAGUUCAGGUAACACUGAAUGGAGGACCGAACCGACUUACGUUGAAAAGUGAGCGGAUGAACUGAGGGUAGCGGAGAAAUUCCAAUCGAACCUGGAGAUAGCUGGUUCUCUCCGAAAUAGCUUUAGGGCUAGCCUCAAGUGAUGAUUAUUGGAGGUAGAGCACUGUUUGGACGAGGGGCCCCUCUCGGGUUACCGAAUUCAGACAAACUCCGAAUGCCAAUUAAUUUAACUUGGGAGUC